GGUAAGCGGCUUCGGUCAGAGGGUAUAAUCGAUUGAGUCCGGAAAGGUCCUUCGAAGGGACAUCCAAUGGUUCGUGCGGAUCGUGGGUCAAAGUGAAAUUUUUACUUUAAUGAGGGUAUAUUCCUUUGUAAGAAAGAAGAUUUCUUCGCGGAAUGUUUUUUGAUUACAUCUUGUUCCACCCUCAAAAGAAUUCAAAGCAGUCGAAAAGGGAAAAUGGAGAUCAAUCCUAACGUUAACAGUGUUCUUGGAUAUCGAACUAAUGUUAAUUUGGAUAGCAUUUAGUUAGAAAGUUAUAUAUACCGUAAUAAUAUUUAUUUCAAUGCCAUGAGUGAGAUUAGGAACGGCAAAGAAAAUAUUAAGGCGAUUAACAUUAUUCCAAAAAAGAUUUGCGAAUCCAUGUCGAAGAUGAAGAAGAAGAAAAAGGUGAUACAGGGGAUGAAGAAGUGGAAGAGAUAUACUAAAGGAAACGAAGGCGGAAGCAGGAAAAGUUCCAAUAGCUUGCAAGUAUUACAAAGGCCCGAGUUGACGGAUAUUUGAAUUAUAAUUCCAAACAAGAUAUACGAAAUUUCACUACCUCGUGUUAAUGAAGUAUUCUAUAUCCGAAGUGAAACAUAUUUACUUUGGCCUGUUCUUCCUUAUAUCCGGCGAUAACUCCUACAUGGAUAGUACAAAUGCAAUCAAUCAGAUUAUGAUAUGAAAACGUUUUUCUGUUUCUUCUUAUAUUUCAGUGGAAAAUCAGUCAAUGGUUUGUUUAUCGAAUUUUAGAGAUAAGAUUUUAUGAUAGCGACGAGAAUAUUUCUAUUAAUGAGUUGGACAUUAAGUCUCUUAACUCUAGCUGGCAUAUAUGUAUUAUAUUAAUGUGUAUAAUUCAAGAACCCAUAUAUUUUUCACCUUUGUAAAGAAGAAUAUUUGAUAUGGGAAGCAAGAUGUUCGAUGAAAGAGAGGAGAUCGUAAAAGGGGCGGAGGUAGCUGACGCUGCUCACGAAUUUAUUAAAAAACUUGUAAACGAUAUGGAACUCAAGUUGAUGAGAGAGGCACCAUAUUAUCCGACGUAUAGAAGUAAACAUGUUGCUACUGGUAGAGCAUUACUCUAGCAACCAUCGACAUCAAUAUUGAAUUUUAAUAAACGAGAGUGCAUUGGAUCGUGUAAUUAGAAGAGCGGUUCAAGAUGCAGAUAGAAUUUUAACCAAGGAAGGAACAUCGUUAGCGAUAGUUCAUGUAUGCAUUAUGUGAUUGGGAAUACCUAGGAAGAGGAAAAAGAAGAAAAAACAUUUGUGCUUGACGACGAAGUUUGGAAAGACCAUUAGGGCGUUAGUUUAAAAAGCGUCGGAAGGUAGUACGAGGAAAUGGGAGGGAUUUACUUCUUCCAAAGGGUCCAAACGUAAGCGGCUUUAGUUGGAGGGUAUACGCGAUUGUACGUAGAAUGAUUUUUUAAGGGAUCGUACGAUGUUCCAUGCGGGUCAUGGAUCGAAGGGGAAUGGAAAUGAAACUGAGGGAGGUUUAUCAUACAAAAUAAUUUAACAUACAGGGACGAUUAAAAGAUUCAAAAUUUUUGGAAAUAAUAACGAUAGCAGGAGUAUACUUUUAAAUUAUACGUGAAAUAAAAAGUCCACGUUCGCAUCAUCGUUAUUCCAUCGAUAUAAAUUAAGUAACAGUUCGCUAUAAUUAAAAAAGGAGAAAUGUUGAAUCCCAUGUUUCAAAUUGUUUGUCAUCAUAUUCACGACAUGUAGUUAAAAAAUAUUCGUAAUAUUUUAUUAGCGUUUUUCAUAAAUAUUAUAUAUAUACACACGGUGAGAUGAACGUACCCUGAAUAUUUAACGCAAAAUUUAAGUCUCCCGAGCUAACAGCACAAUUUCAAUAGGAAACUUCAGUGAAACACGGAUUUCCCAAACAGUAGCAGUGCAAACACUCGAUCCGCCCAAAUCACUCUCUAACUGUGUGGUUCUCUCGAAGAGGAAAUACGUGAAACAGAGGAUGGUGAGAUGAGGAAAUAAAGAAAUAUGACAAGAGAUUUUCUCCGAAUACAUUUUUUCUAUUAUCGUGCAAUAAUGGAAAUGAAUUCUAGGAUAACUUAAACAAUAUAUAUUUGUUUACGAGAUAAGAAGGUGAUAUUUGAAGAAAAUGUAUUUAAGGAAUAUUGAAGUAGAUGUAACUUCCGACGAAAAAAUGUUUUAACAACCAAAUAUUUUAUAAUAAGAAUUAUAUAGUAUGAAAAUUGUAAUACCCGUAAUAUGAAAUAAUAUUAGAACACUAUUUUUAAGUAUGACUUAAACUUACGAAAGAAGAAACAUUACAUAUUUCGUAUAUGAUAUUACCAUUACUUUCUAGAAAUUAACGUUGAUAAUUACAAUAAUUAUUAUUUUUGAUGUUAUUAUUAAAAUAAUUUGAAAUUAUUAAUACAAAAAUCAUUAAUAAUAAUUACUUAUAUUAUAUAUAAUUACAGUUUUACUUGCAUAUUGCAAUUAAAAAAGAGAAAAGUAACUGUCAAUUUCGUUAGAAGAUUUCAAGUUUUAUGAAAUAAUUUUUCAAGUGCAUAAAGGAAAUAAAAAUAUAACUACAUAGUUACAGGCGAGGGGAAAUUAUUCAUCCCCAAACUAGAAAAUUAAUAUCUAGGAAUCUUGGUCUUCUAACGAGACGACGUGGGAUUAACUAAUCCAGGGGAAGUCAUUCCUUCCGUGAUUUUCGACCCAGUAAUACGCAAGUGUGUGUCAUACGCGAAAUAAUCCCUAGCUACCAUACUUCCGAAAGAACAGCUUUACAAAUAACAAAGACGGUUUAAACACCAUUAUCUCUAGUCAUUCCAUUAUUCCAUCAAUCUUCUUCAAAAUUUAGCAGUAGCUAUUUGCAUAAGAUUUAUUAGAAAAUAACAUUUCCAUAUUAUAGAAAUUACCGGAUAAUUACUCCAAUUUGGGUUUAAUACCAUUUCGAAUAUUUGUGAUAAAUUCACUUGUAAAUAAAAAUACUUUCUUCGACUGUAUAAAAUCUUCGAAGAUAUUCAAUAAAUUAUUAUAAGGUAUAUAGAUACGAUAUAGAUUGUAUAGUCCACAUUACAUUUUAGAAUGAAAAAUUUAUCUUAUGUCUAAAAUAUCUUACCAUUCAAUAAACACAGCAUUGAUUGAUUUUCCAUUUAAGCAUAAAUGUAAAAAGGAAAAUGUUUCCAUAUAUUAAUCUCGUUGAUGGUCUGGCUUGAUUUGUACUAUCCAUAUAGGACGUAUAGUCGGAUGUACGGAAGAACAGAAAGUGUCAAUGAAAAUGUGUUUCACUUUGGAUAUGCAAUGUUAUAUUAUCUGGUGGAGCGUUGUUCUUCUUUGGAAUUACAAUUCAAAUAUAAGUCAAUUCGGCUCCUUUGCAAUACAUCCAGGCUAUUGGAACUGCUUUCGUCUUCCGUUGGUUUAGUAUAUCCCUGAAACAUUAUAAGAUUCGUAGAUUAGUUAAGAGUUACGGAAGUCGUUCAAUUGUACAUCUAAUUGUACUGUCCUCAAAAAUAAAUUUUGUUUCAUCCUUUUAAGCGAUAUAAAGUACCUUUUCCGAAAUGCAACAAACAAUUAUUUAGAUAGCAUUGAUCACGAAAAUCAGUAUCAUUUCCAUAAUGUAUACUUGAAAUUUUAUAAUAAAUCACAAACUCAUGACUACUAACAAA